rnacentral:rRNA from 1 species
GGGGAAUUUUGGACAAUGGGCGCAAGCCUGAUCCAGCAAUGCCGCGUGCAGGAAGAAGGCCUUCGGGUUGUAAACUGCUUUUGUACGGAACGAAACGGUUCUCUCUAAUACAGGGGGCUAAUGACGGUACCGUAAGAAUAAGCACCGGCUAACUACGUGCCAGCAGCCGCGGUAAUACGUAGGGUGCAAGCGUUAAUCGGAAUUACUGGGCGUAAAGCGUGCGCAGGCGGUUUUGUAAGACAGAGGUGAAAUCCCCGGGCUCAACCUGGGAACUGCCUUUGUGACUGCAAAGCUGGAGUGCGGCAGAGGGGGAUGGAAUUCCGCGUGUAGCAGUGAAAUGCGUAGAUAUGCGGAGGAACACCGAUGGCGAAGGCAAUCCCCUGGGCCUGCACUGACGCUCAUGCACGAAAGCGUGGGGAGCAAAC